rnacentral:rRNA from 2 species
GGGGAAUAUUGGGCAAUGGGCGAAAGCCUGACCCAGCAACGCCGCGUGAAGGAAGAAGGCCCUCGGGUUGUAAACUUCUUUUAUUCGGGACGAAACAAAUGACGGUACCGAAUGAAUAAGCCACGGCUAACUACGUGCCAGCAGCCGCGGUAAUACGUAGGUGGCGAGCGUUAUCCGGAUUUACUGGGUGUAAAGGGAGCGUAGACGGCUAUGCAAGUCUGGUGUGAAAACCCGGGGCUCAACCCCGGGACUGCAUUGGAAACUGUGUGGCUUGAGUGUCGGAGAGGUAAGUGGAAUUCCUAGUGUAGCGGUGAAAUGCGUAGAUAUUAGGAGGAACACCAGUGGCGAAGGCGGCUUACUGGACGAUGACUGACGUUGAGGCUCGAAAGCGUGGGGAGCAAACA